rnacentral:rRNA from 1 species
UACGGGGGGGGCAAGCGUUGUUCGGAAUUACUGGGCGUAAAGGGCUCGUAGGUGGCCAACUAAGUCAGACGUUGAAAUCCCUCAGCUUAACUGGGGAACUGCGUCUGAUACUGGAUGGCUUGAGUUUGGGAGAGGGAUGCGGAAUUCCAGGUGUAGCGGUGAAAUGCGUAGAUAUCUGGAGGAACACCGGUGGCGAAGGCGGCAUCCUGGACCAACACUGACACUGAGGAGCGAAAGCCAGGGGAGCAAACGGGAUAG